rnacentral:rRNA from 1 species
GUACACGCUGUGACUAGCAUAUCAAUAAGCGGAGGAAAAGAGGGCUAUUACCUACGCUUAGGAUGUUGACACACGCGCGUGCUCGAUGAUAGUCUAUACAUGACUCUGUGCAUAUCAAUAAGCGGAGGAAAAGAAACUAACAAGGAUUCCCCUAGUAACGGCGAGUGAAGCGGGAAGAGCUCAAAUUUGAAAUCUUAAAGGGUUUCCCUUUACGAAUUGUAGUUUAAAGAAGUGUUUUCUGUUGAGGUUUUGGUAAAAGUUCUUUGGAAUAGGACAUCAUAGAGGGUGAGAAUCCCGUAUUUGACCUUUACUUUCAACUUUGUGAUACACUUUCAAAGAGUCGGAUUGUUUGGGAAUGCAGUCCAAAAUGGGUGGUAAAUUUCAUCUAAAGCUAAAUAUUGGCGAGAGACCGAUAGCGAACAAGUACCGUGAGGGAAAGAUGAAAAGAACUUUGAAAAGAGAGUUAAACAGUACGUGAAAUUGUCAAAAGGGAAGCGUUUGACACCAGUGUUGUUUUUCUGAAAAUCAAUUAAAGAACUGUUUAUGCUAAGCUUGUUUAGACUUUAUCAGCUAUCUGUUUAGUUUUGAGCUUUUCUUUAAUGCACUUUUCAGUUAACAAGUCAACAUCAAUUUCUUUUGCUGUAAAAAAGCUUGAGGAAGGUGGCUUGAGAUUCGUCUUAAGUGUUUAUAGCCUCUUGCCUAUGCAGUCGGAGAGAUUGAGGUCUGCAGCGUAGAUCCUUCGGGGCUAAAUGCAUUUGUGCUAAGUUAUAGCAUUUUAUAGACAACUUGUUGACUAUGAUUUGUCUUGUAGCUUACUCGCUUAUGUUAUUUUACCUACGCUUAGGAUGUUGAGUCGUAGAGCACGCAG